UACGUAGGGGGCAAGCGUUAUCCGGAUUUACUGGGUGUAAAGGGGGCGCAGACGGCAAUGCAAGUCUGAAGUGAAAUCCCGCGGCUCAACUGCGGAACUGCUUUGGAAACUGUAUAGCUUGAGUAUCGGAGGGGUAAGCGGAAUUCCUGGUGUAGCGGUGAAAUGCGUAGAUAUCAGGAGGAACACCGGUGGCGAAGGCGGCUUACUGGACGAUAACUGACGUUGAGGCCCGAAAGCGUGGGGAGCAAAC
rnacentral:rRNA from 1 species